UUCGCAAUGCCCGAAAGGGUGACGAAGCGACGCCGCGUGCGGGAAGAAGGCCUUCGGGUUGUAAACCGCUGUCGGGAGUUAGGAAAUGCAAGGAUGUUAAUAGCGUCUUUGCUUGACUAAGGCUCCGGAGGAAGCCACGGCUAACUCUGUGCCAGCAGCCGCGGUAAUACAGAGGCGGCAAGCGUUGUUCGGAAUUAUUGGGCGUAAAGAGCACGUAGGCGGCCGUGUAAGUCGGUUGUGAAAGCCUUCCGCUCAACGGGAGAACGGCAUCCGAUACUGCAUGGCUCGAGUGCGGGAGGGGAGAGUGGAACUUCUGGUGGAGCGGCGAAAUGCGUAGAUAUCAGAAGGAACACCGGCGGCGAAGGCGACUCUCUGGCCCGUAACUGACGCUGAGUGUGCGAAAGCUAGGGGAGCAAACGGGAUUAGAUACCCCGGUAGUCCUAGCCGUAAACGAUGGGCACUAAGUAGAGGGGUUUU
rnacentral:rRNA from 1 species